rnacentral:rRNA from 1 species
CUACGGGUUGCUCCAGUGGGGAAUAUUGCACAAUGGGCGCAAGCCUGAUGCAGCAACGCCGCGUGAGGGACGACGGCCUUCGGGUUGUAAACCUCUUUUAGCAGGGAAGAAGCGAAAGUGACGGUACCUGCAGAAAAAGCACCGGCUAACUACGUGCCAGCAGUCGGGGUAAUACGUAGGGUGCAAGCGUUGUCCGGAAUUAUUGGGCGUAAAGAGCUCGUAGGCGGUUUGUCGCGUCUGCUGUGAAAAUCCGAGGCUCAACCUCGGACCUGCAGUGGGUACGGGCAAACUAGAGUGCGGUAGGGGAGAUUGGAAUUCCUGGUGUAGCGGUGGAAUGCGCAGAUAUCAGGAGGAACACCAAUGGCGAAGGCAGAUCUCUGGGCCGUAACUGACGCUGAGGAGCGAAAGCGUGGGGAGCGAACAGGAUUAGAUACCCGGGUAGUC